rnacentral:rRNA from 1 species
UGUUUCGGCUAGGGGGCCAUCCCGGCUUACCAACCCGAUGCAAACUGCGAAUACCGGAGAAUGUUAUCACGGGAGACACACGGCGGGUGCUAACGUCCGUCGUGAAGAGGGAAACAACCCAGACCGCCAGCUAAGGUCCCAAAGUCAUGGUUAAGUGGGAAACGAUGUGGGAAGGCCCAGACAGCCAGGAUGUUGGCUUAGAAGCAGCCAUCAUUUAAAGAAAGCGUAAUAGCUCACUGGUCGAGUCGGCCUGCGCGGAAGAUGUAACGGGGCUAAACCAUGCACCGAAGCUGCGGCAGCGACGCUGAUGCGUUGUUGGGUAGGGGAGCGUUCUGUAAGCCUGCGAAGGUGUGUCGUGAGGCAUGCUGGAGGUAUCAGAAGUGCGAAUGCUGACAUAAGUAACGAUAAAGCGGGUGAAAAGCCCGCUCGCCGGAAGACCAAGGGUUCCUGUCCAACGUUAAUCGGGGCAGGGUGAGUCGACCCCUAAGGCGAGGCCGAAAGGCGUAGUCGAUGGGAAACGGGUUAAUAUUCCCGUACUUGGUGUUACUGCGAAGGGGGGACGGAGAAGGCUAUGUUGGCCGGGCGACGGUU